rnacentral:lncRNA from 1 species
UUGAGAUUAUGUUGCGAGUAACUUAAACAGCAUCUGUUUACCAACAGCGUGUCACAAUUGAGCUCUCACUGCACAGACAGAUUUUGAGCGGGUUGUGUAUACAGCUGCUAUUGCAAAAGGAAUAUUUACACCAUAACGUAUAGCUUAAAGUCUCAGUCCCUGGAACGCUACAGGCCAAGAAUUACGUUAAUUCGGCUCUGCGGUUCCACACAUCGUGACCUCAACUCUCCAAUCCGAAACAAAGCUGAUAAUGAUAGAGCUAAAGCAAAGGGAAUUUAUUAAAAAAAAAAAAAAAAAAAAGCAAGAAUAGCAGCAUGAUCAACGCCACACAAGGUUAAUCAUUCCUGCUGCCGAAGCUGCCUUCCUGCAAAUAGCGGGCAUUCCAGCUCUUGGCACGUGGGCACAUACAGGAGUUUUGCCAGCUCGCCAGGGGUUCAGGGCCAUCAGGCCUCCUAGUGGAACUCCGAAGCAGAGAUUUUUAUAACUCUCCAUGCCACUUUACUUUCCAAAUGCCAUUUUUUUUUUUUUUUCUUUUUAGGGCCACACCUGCAGCAUAUGGAAGUUCCCAGGCUGGAGGUCGAAUCAGAGCUAAAGCUGCUAGCCUACACCACAGGCACGGCAACUCAGGAUCCGAGCCGCAUCUUCGACCUACACCCCAGCUCACAGCAAUGCCGGGUCCCUGCUGAAUGAAGCCAGGGAUCGAAGCCCCAUCCUCGUGUCUGUGAGGAUACAGCUUCAAUCCCUGGCCUCACUCAGUGGGUCAAGGUUCAGCCGCUCAUCAGAUGCGUUUCUGCUGUGCCACGGUGGGAACUCCCCAAACGCUAAAUUUUAGACGCCUUCAAUUAGAGUAUUGCUAGUAAGGAGCCUCAGUUGGACCUUUCCGAAAAAAGAAAGGUGCUGAAAUUAGUUAUCGUGUGCCCAUAACAAGUGAAAAAGGACGUGUGAUUUUGGACUGUCCAGGACCCAGUGCGGGGGGGCAGCCUGGUGCCCACUGUGGGCCCUGGAGCUAAAGAGAUCUGUGUGUCCUCCAUGGUGUCAAGGGCUUUUCAUGAUCCUGAGAAUGGCUAUAUAUUUUUCACAGCUAAUUUACAGUUUGGGGGCUGCAGGGUUGGAGAAACUGUCUGUCUUGGUCCCUUGGGUCUGCCAUCACAAAAUACCGCAAGCUAGGUGGCUUAUAAACAACAAAUGUUUAUUUCUCACAGUUCUGGAGGCUGGGCAUCUGCGGUCAGGGUGCCAGCAUGGUCGGUGAGGGUCCUCUGUCAGGUCACAGGUCCUUAUCGGGCCGAAGGGCAGGGGCGCGCUCUCCAGCCUCAUUUAUAGAGGUACUAAAGGCAGACCUUGGAGAUACUGUGGGUUCAGCCCCAGGCCACUGCAAUAAAGCGAAUAACACAAUAGUGAGUAACACAAAAUGUUUUCGGUCGCCUCAGUGCAUAUCAAAAUUACGUAUAGGCGUCCCCACUGUGGCGUGGCGUCUCUAUAGCCCCAGAACCCGGCUUCCAUCCCAGGAUCCGGCAUUGUCAUGGUCGUGGCAUAGGUCUUAACAGCGGCUCAGAUCUUCUCCCUGGCCUGGGAACUCUGCAUGCCACCGGGCAGCCAAAAAAGGAAAAAUACUUUUUAAAAGUUCCGUUUACACUAUACUGCGGUCUGUUAAGUUUGCAAUAGCACUAUGUCUAAAACUUGUACAUGCCUUAAAUAGGAAAUACUUUAUUGGUCCAUCAUUGUAAUCAUUUUGCUGUUGGAGGGUUUUGCCUUUGAUAUUGGCGGCUGCAGACUGAUCUGGGCUGUGGCUGCUGAAGGCUGGGGUGGCUGAGGCAAUUUCUUAAAAUAAGACAACAAUGAAAUCUGCAUCAAUUAACUCUUCCUUUCACGUGAACUCUUAGAGGCCAUUGUAGGGUUAUUCAUUGGCUUAUUUUCAAUGUUGUUGUGUCUCAGGAAAUAGGGAGGCCCAAGAAAAGGUAGAGAGAUGGGGGACUGGCCAGCCAGUCAGUGGAGCAGUCAGAACACACAGCAUUUAGCAAUUAGGGGUUCUUAUUGCGGCUCAGCAGGUUAAAAUCCCAGCAUGCUGUCUGGGAGGAUACAGGUUCAAGCCUUGGCCUCGAUCAGUGGGUUAGGGUUUCUGGCAUUGCCACGGCUGUGUAGACUGCAGAUGUGGCUCAGAUUUGGUGUUGCUGUGGCUGUGGUGUAGCCUGGCAGCUGCAGCUCCCACUUGACCCCUAGCCUGGGAACUUCCUUCUGCCGGUAUGGCUGUAAAAAGAAAAAAAAAUUAUCAAUUAAGUUUGCCAUCUUAUAUGGGUGCAGUUCGUGGUACCCCCAAACAAUUAUAACAGUAACGUCGAAGGUCACUGAUCAGAGGUCACCAUAACAUAAAUAAUAAUGAAAAUGUUUGGAAAGUUGUGCGAAUUGCCAAACUGUGACACAGAGACACAAGUGAGCAAAUGCUGUUGGAAAAAAUGGCACCGAUUGACUUGCCUGAUGCAGGGUGGCCCCAAACCUUCAAUUUGAAAAAAAAGGCAACAUCUGUGACGCACAAUAAAGCAAAGCACGAUCAAUGAGGAAUGUUUAUAAUGUCGCUCUCAUGACCUAAUCACUCCAAAGGCCCCCACCUUCUAGUACCAUCGCACUGGGCGUUAGGGUUUCCAUGUUUGAAGUCUGGGGGCCACACGCAUCCAGGCCAUGGCACAGUCCUCUAGGAGCAGGUUAACGGAAGCAGGGUUUUCGCCCUUAUUUCUGUGAAUAGCUGUCCGAGUGCUGCCCCACCGGCCUCAUUUUGAGUAGCAUUGAUCUCAUGGGGUUGGGGAACACAUGGCUGAACUCCGAAUCAAGGUCUAAAUAUGGGAAUUACUCAUGUCCCCCACUUUUCACUUUAAGUCACUUCGCUUUUACAAGAGACUUGCGUUUUUCGGACCGAGAGAAAUCCAAGGAGGAGUUUUGCUUUCAUGCUAAAAGGUGAAAAGUGAAAAUAGCAUCGAGCAUUUGUUUUGCAGGGAGUUAUUACCGAGGCAGCUCACCCCCGGAGCAGCUAGAGGGCUGGACCCCCAAGCUCCUUCCUCUGAAACUGCACUCAGCAUCUCAGCAUCAAGCCACCAGCACUUUGAACUGUGUCUGUGAGCAGCUUAAUCUUGGCUUGUUUUGUGCACCCAUUAGUGAGAGGUGUCCAGAAUGGUUGCUUCUUUGCUUUAUGCCAUUUUGGCUUCAAGUUUUCCUAGGAACGCUCUCCUGUCAGAGAGCAGGGAGACCCGUGGAGCAUUUCUGGGUUAUGGUGGAGUCUGUGGUGUGGUGCAAGGAGGUGAAGGCCACAGGAGAUGACGAAGUCCAACAGGGGUUUGGAAGGGUCAUUAAAAAGGACCCCCCCCAAUCAUUCAGAACACACUGUGUCUUUGCAUAGAUGCAGGCACAUAAAACCCUGCCCCGGGCAUUUCCAAAUGAAGCCUUCCCGACCUCUGUACCAUCUGCACAUCGUCUGCAGCACAUCAAGACUCUUAAACUACCUCAAAAUGGAAUUCUGUUUUUCCUACAGAGCGAUUCUAAGCUUUUGGGGGUGGCGAUGGGAAGGACAGACCUCUGAAUAAAGGGGGCAGGUAGGGUGGCUGUGCUGGCCUCCUUUGCCAUGUAUGACCAAUGGGUGUCUCCCUUGACCCCUGGGUGCCUAGAGGACCCCAGCCCAUGGGAGACCUGCUGUGUUUGCUUAUUUGGGGCUGGGGACUCCUUUUCUCCAUGUUGAACCAUCCCCCUUCCCUCCACCUGGCCUCUCCCAUUCUCUUCUGUGAGCGGAGGCUGGGACGGGGGAAGGAGAAGAGUUGAGGGGACGGGGAGCAGCAGAUGAUGCUGGAGAGUGGCUGGGAGGCUGGGUGGGAGCUCCCGCUUAGGGAGGGCUGGCCAGCCAAGGCCCCACUUAGUUUGUACUUUGGAUGGUGGUGGUCCUGGGCAAAAAAUCCCUUUCUCACAUCCUAGGUUUGUUUGUUUGUUUGUUUGUUUAUUUUGCCUUUUUUUAAGGUCGCCCUGCAGCCUAUGCAGGUUCCCAGGCUGGGGGUCGAAUCAGAGCUAUAGUUGCUGGUCUACACCACAGCCACAGCCACGUCAGAUCUGAGAUGCAUCUGUGAUCUACGUCAGCUCGCGGCAAUGUUGGAUCCUUAACCCACUGAGAGAGGCCAGGGAUCGAACCCACAACCUCGUGGUUCCUAGUCGGAUUCGUUUCCGCUGUGCUACUACGGGAACUCCCAUACCACCUUCUUUGAAGUCACUAUACGCAGCCCACACUUAAGCACCGGGACUCUCCCGCUCUAUGAGGCUUUAUCUGCAAAAAUGAAUCAGAAUUCUUCUGAAAGGGAGCUAUGUCUUCAUUCUCCAGCAUUUAUUUAUCUAGUCAAUCAUUUGUUUAUAUCGCUGUGAACUCACAGAUAUUUAUUUCAUCCUUUGGGUUGUAAUCCAAUACUACUUAUUUUCUUGCUCAAAUUGUUGCCGCCAUGGCUGGUGGGACUUCUUUCAGUUGGUUCCCGUGUUCCUUUGACAAAUCCCCACAAGCGUUACUGGUGUUUUAGGCUGUCAUUUGUUCUUUAACCCUUCCUUACUUCCUGGGCGCACAAGAUACUCCAGGCUCAUCUUGCAUAUUUCCUAUGCCGUUUCUUAGAAUGAGCCCCCUCUCCAAGCAGCCCUGGUUGUUUGUUGAGAAUGAUAUUAGAAACCAAAACCUGGGGGACCCCUAGCCUGGGAACCUCCAUAUGCCGAGGGUGAGGCCCUGAAAAGACAAAAAAAAAAAAAAAGAAAGAAAGAAAGAAAGAAAAAGGAUAAAAGGGGCC